CAAUAUGCAAUACCUGUAAAUCAUGAAAGUAGAUUACUUUAUUCUACUUUAUAUCAUUAACCAUUCUUUACUUGUAGCCGUUCUUUUCUUUAUUAGCUAUUCACGUUCAUUAGCUAUUCUUUAUUCUUUACUCUUUGUCUUAUUGUGCUCACUGGCGAUUCUUUCCUAAGGUUAUUUUACCUUAGCCAUCUAUGCCACUCGACUCGGUCUCGAGUAAAUCAACUGCGGAGAGUCCGCGCUCUGUCCGGCUCAAGGUUAAGGACCUCUCACUUACACCUCAGCCUUCAGUCCACAAAUAUCUCGCGAACGGGUCGCCCAGAGCUGCGUACACCCGUGGUCAAGGAUCUUUCCGGUGGGAAGGGGAUUAUGCCACAAACUCAACCCGCGGCCCAAGACCCCCGAUAGGGAAGGGGACAUGCCACACUCAACCCUAGCGAAGCACAAUUCUGCCGAUGGGAGGGGGAACCUGCCACACUCGACCCGCGGCCUCGAAUCAGUCAACAACUCAUCCUCGAAGUUCGUCCAGUGGGAGGGGAACCUGUCAUACUCAACCCACUGCUCUAGAACUGUCGAGUUCACAAUCCUAAGAUUCCGGAAUCUAUUUCCCAAGCCUCUAGGGUAAUCUCAAACCCUAUGAUAUCGACCUAUCUAGGUCCAAUGCACUUUCUGUCCUAAGUCUAGCUGACUCUAGGUUUAAUGCCCCUAUCAUAUAACCUAUGUUCUUAAUCCUAGGUUCAUAUUUAACCUAUGUUAAUUACGCUAGGUUCGGUGCCACUCGAUCUAGUUGUCCCUAAUUGUCCACAUCGAGUUUCUAUAAUUACAUAACCUCAUGCACAUGCUCACAUUGCUAAUAUGCAUUUUGUCUAUCAACAUCCAAUAAAGUAUCUUACUUAGCAUCUCUACAUUAUGUCAUCAUCUAGCAUAUAGUUCCAAUGGAUUAAUAUGCAUUCACUACGAGCAUGCAUUACAUAAUACUAACAUGUAUAUACAUUUAACAAUUUCUCAUUAUGUCAUGUUAGAUCCACAACAUAUUAUCAUUUACUUACAUGCUCUAUUAUGAGUUGACAUGAAACUAGCACUUGCAUAUAAUUCCAAUGCAUCAACAUGCCAUUAGCAACUAGCAUAAUUACUAUCAUUUAGUACAUGCAUCUUAACUAACAUGCUCACAUAAUGUUACAUACACCUAGCAUAUAUUCCAAUGCAUUAUUAUGCAAUUACCAACUAGUAUACAUUCACAUGAUGCCCUUAGCACACUUCUAACUAUGCAUAUGUAUAUCAACAUGCACAUUCUAAUUAUAUGCUUUAACUCAUCUACAAUACCAUUAUACUUGUACAUAUGCAUCAACAUGAAUUUCAUGUUUACUUUGACAUGAAGGCGAGCUAGUCGCUUCGGUAAGCACAACCUACCUGUUAUCGCGUUCCGAUUGCUCGUAGUCACUUGUAAUCGGCCGCCCGCGGUACCCGCUAUCUAAUUCGGCCCGGACUCGCAAUUGCUCACCAACCGUGCUCCGCUUCGCAGUCCCGGUUAGAAAAAGGUCUUCGUUUUGUUGUUAUGGUGCCCCAAAUCCAUUUCCAUGAUUUUACGACGUCGCCUCGGCCCUCCAGGCGGAAACGAAGCCUAAACGUCCGUUUCUUUAAUAUCUUCGUAACGGCUCGUCGGAUUGCCGAACCGUCUUCGCCAACGCGUUUCGUUACCUAGCAAUUAGGUUUUCGGAGGGUCAAAUUAGAUCAAACCCUUAUUUUUUGAAAAUUAGCAUUUUGGAGCCCUAGGUUACAACUAUGCAAGAAAUCACCAAAUUGAUUCAUGAUUUAAGCAUCAUUCAUCUAGAUAGCAUGCUAGGAUUCCUCUAAAUCCAUUUAUAAGCUAUUUAACCCAACCAUUAAGGAUCUACCAUUAAUGGGCAAGGAGCUUACCUCCAAGAGCUUGCUCCAAAAUGAAGAAGAAGAAGAUGAUGGUGUUGAUGAUCCCUCCAAGCUUCUUCUCCACCAAUUUCACCUAUUUUGGGAGAGAUUUAGAGAGAGAAAGAGAGGGUUUUCUCUUCUCCUUCCAUGCGUGUGUGAGUGUGUGUCGUGGGUGUGCACGGGUUGGGGCUGCACGGUUGAGGGAGAAGAAGCAUUUGCUUCUUUUACAACUUAACCCCUCAACUAUACAGUAUUCACAUUAGUUACCUGCCCGGAAUCUGAUAAGUUUCGUCGGAGCCCUUCUGGAUGUCCGUUUCUGCUCAAAUUUGACAGGCAGACUCGGUUUGACAUAUUGAGCAAGAAUAUAUCUUAAGUUUCCAGUUUCGACUUUGUUUGGUCACCGAAAACUAUGCCGAACUGUAAUCUUAGUUAAAUAACUGUUGGAUUUUAUUUCUCACUCUACGGGUGUCAAAAUGGUAUGAAACUUUAAAUCUAGUCUCAUAAAAAUAUUUCUGAUAUAUCCUCCAAUUUUCAUAAUUUUCUGACACUGUGCAUUUUCUGCUAAUUUAUCUGCCCCGUUUUUCACAGGAAAUUCUAAAUCUUCUGUUUUCGCUCCGAUUUCAGCACAGGUCAUUCCCAACCUAUAUUUUACUUCUCUAAAUCCAAUAAAAAUAGUGACUCAUACUGUUUUUAUUUAUUUUCAUUUUUAUAUUUAAAAUCCGGUAUGUUACAUUCCACCGCAACCUCACCGGAACCAUUUAAACGUACACCGUAACUUCAUAAUUUUAUAAGUUCGAUAUGUUACAUUCUCCCCUCCUUAAAAAGAGUUUUGUCCGCGAAACUCAAAUAAUUCAAACUCUAAUUCAUACCCCAACUCUACUUAUCGAGUAACAAAGGGGUACAAUGCACUUUUCUACUUCGGAGUGGUCCUGCGCUCAUUGGAACUAUUCAAAGGCCCACUACGGAGGUUGUGAAACUAAAUUCACUCACGUUUACCAAAUGUAACACCGAAAGUGCAUUACGGCUUCACAAGCCUCGGUGGUAGCGUGGGUCAAUACUCAUGCCUUCACACGCUCCAACACCACCAGCAAACAGGCUCACUAAGGCCAAACCACUUCCUUCGAGACUGGGGUUACCUGCUAUCCUCAUAGUGUGGAGCUAGCAAGAAUGCACUAAUAGUCAUAUGGUCCACCACCACGACACUGCACACACGAGUAAGUCCUCUCGAAUCGCCUGAGCAUCUACAAGGCGGCUCUCACCACCUUGGCUUAUUCAAGAGUUCGUAUUACUCAUUUACAACUCUUCGUCACAUUCACCAUCCCUCCAGGGAUCACACUCCAAUUCGAUCACCGGCAUUGCUUAGAAGCAAUAUCAUUGGUGCAUCGACCAAUCACGAGUGCUCCAAUCCUCAACCGGAUCCUUGCUCUACUACGAGAUGGCACACUCCCGCACAUCCCCGAUCUCAAUCCUCUUGAGAGCAUCAUCCUCAACUCCAAUCCUCACGUGGCUAUCCAACAUUCAAGUGCCUCUUAGAGACCACUCUACUUUCUCUUUAUCCUUUCAUACCGUAAGCCACGAUCAACACCACACGAACCCUUCGUUCGUGGAUCCGAGCCCAACUCACCCAUAGAGUUUUCGGUUACAUCAAUCAUCGAUUUCCUCAGGUGGACCGAAGGCCACCAAUCCUACGUGGGCCUACCACCUAAACCGGUCUCAACUACGCGUAGUGUCUCUGGCCUACUAGCGUAGACCCAAUCAUCAUUACUGGGCGAAAUUCUCAUUGGAGAAUUCGCACACACUCCAACCAGGAGUGACUAAGACCACAAACCACGUCGAGUCCUCGGGUUGGGUCACUACACACUCGGUGUGUCAUCAAUCUCACGAUCUAACACGUGGCAUUCGACGCUCCCGGAUCUAAGCUCGGACUACCGUCCUGACCAAAACUCUCUGCCCUACCCGUAGGUACCGGGCCGCUGCCUCUCGCAACUGACUGCGCCUGCCCAAUGGGCCGAGGCUCCACAGUCCACAAAGGGUCCAGGCACGGGUCGUCUCCAAGCACUACCCGCCAACGUCGUCCUACACGACACGCUCUACAGAGCUACACACUCUAACGGCUCCUAGGCACCUAGUGCGAGCCACCAGCCCCACGAGUGAGCUAUGGCCCGCUUCACACUUAGCCCUGCUAAAGUGCUACUGCCAACUCAUUCAACCGGCUGAAUCGAAACCACACUUCACGAGUACUACACUCGAGCGCUCUAUGUCCGUACAGCGUCUUACACGAAGUCCAGCAUCAGGCAACCUGCCUAUGCACACUGACUAUACGAGCACGACUCGCCCACCUCAAUUCGAGGUUCUACCAGGCCCACAUGCCCGUACUCGGCAACUAACCAAUCGCUCUGGCCUAAUGUCAGCAACCAGCCGGCACCAACCAAUCACCUAUCCAUUAGGUAGGCGACGCACUAUCACGAUUUAUGCAUGCUAGGGUAGCUACAUUAACCCUCGUCUCUGUCCCUACUAUAUUAGUGCAUAAGUAGUAGUGAAUGAUCAUGAAGUAAAUGCAUGCAAUGCUUCAGUUCUAUAUCAUGCAGAAGUGUAUACUUGCCUCAAUUAAAUCAUACUUGCGAUGAUAUUACCAGCAGCAGCAGGUUCCUCAACUUGGGUCGCGUAAGCCUGGCCACUUGGUGCUCGCCGCGUGCCUUCCGGCUGCCCAAUCCUUACACUCCGCUCUCCAGAUCGUGCCAAAGGUUGCACAUCCACGGGCUGUCCCGAAGAGGGGAAUGCCGUCGCUAUCGGCGAGGGUUGUCCAUCGCCAAUAGCAAAAUCAUACUUUGUGUGACCUGCUUGCCCACAAUAAAAACAUCUUCCCUCACGCAGUGCACACCGUCAUGCUCAGUGAGAUCCACCGCAAAUCACACAUUCCGAAGAAGACUGGUCGGAAGAUAGCUUCGGGAUUCGAGACUGUGACGAUCCGGGGGACGCCUGGAACUUGAUUGACCACCAGAAUGGUCUCUCAGUCACACUGCUCUAGCCUCUUGCCUACUAAACUCGCGCUCCUCUUGCACGGAGUCAUCGCCUUGCUCUACCCACAAGGCUCGAUCCAUGACCUCGGCAAAUGUUUGCAACUUGAACGGAUGCACGUAUCGGAAAACUUCCGACUGAAGUCCCCACACAAAGCAAUCAGCUUUGUCCUCGUCAUCCUGCACCACAUGUGGAACACAAUUCACAAUACAGGUGAAUUCCCGUUCAUAUUCCCUCACGGUACGGUCUCCUUGGCGAAGCUUCCUGAAUUUCUCUUGAAGCCUUCUUUUCUCACUGUCGGGGAAAUAUACGGAGAAUACCAAUCUCCGAAACUCAUCCCAAGUCAUAGGAGGGAGACUAGGCAAUCGAUCUCGUUUGACGCCUUUCCACCACACCUUAGCCGACUUCUCUGAGCAGUGUGCGGCUAGGUUCACCUUGUCCCGCUCUACGGUAUACAAGUCCUCAAAGAGAGUCUCCAUGGAGUCGAUCCACAUUUCCAAGACCCACGGAUCCGCCGACUCUCCGUCAAAGGUAGGCGGCUUAAACUUCUUGAAAGCCAUGAGCACCGCCACAGCUCAUUCCCUUUCCCCCUCCAUCUCCACAGAACCAGGGGCCACGGCCCCCAAAUCCACCGCGACUCCCGACGGUGCACGGUGCGCUGCUACCGGCGUAGCCACCGCGGCCUGUCGUGUCAACAACUCAUGGAGCUCCUUGAUUUGCUCUUCUUGUCGUUGCACUAUGUCCGUGAGCGCAUUCAACUGCUCGCGGAGCACCGGGUCCCCGCUAGCCUCGGCUUGCUCAGGGACACCACUUGCCCCGCCCCGCGCCGACCUGGAUGAAGAUCGCCUGCGCGGUGCCAUCGCUUCCUGAAACAAGACAACUCGAUUAGCUCUCGACCCUCAAGGUCAAACACAAAACCAUUAACACGACUCAAAAGUCAAUCAGGCGAAAGUCAUGCGAGGGCGUCUAUUCUUAUCGCUCGGUUUCAUGUUGUCGCGCGCCAACAUGAACUCCCUCGGUUGAGAAUAAAGCACACCUCGAGUCUACUUCUAAUAUCCGUUUUAGAGGUUAAUAACACAACCCAAUCCAUAAUCCUUUCGCCGCACGUCUCAAGUCCUCGUCUCUCACGAGCCUUAACCUCUAUGGUUUUACUAUCCUAGGGUCUCCUAGGUCAUCUAAAUCAUUUUCCCAUUCUCUACUUUAUGCUCUGAUACCAUCUUAUCUGUCACGCCCCGAGCCCCGCCUGUUUGGUCAGGUUCGGGCACGCCAACCGACCGCCGAACGGACAGGGUUUCCCUUGUACUACGGACAGAGUCUCCCCUGUACGUUCAAGGCAACGCAAUCAAUACAAUACGAGGGUUCCAACCAGGAACUGAUAUCAAUCAAGAUUGCAUAAUGGAAGGUAUCAAACAACAUAAACACAUCCUAAGUUAUUACACUCAUUCACAUUCAUGCAUUUUACAUCUCAAUUCUCAAUUGCUUUAACUUCCAAAUACAAUCUAAGUAGUACAUCGUUUACUUAUUACAAUUUGAUACAUUUACUUUCUUUUCAUUUCCUUUACCCCUAAGCUUUGUAGACGGGGUACUGCUAACUCUGGUCUCCGGUGUAGGGCGCUAUCUGCAGAGCUGCGCCCUUUCCUCGCGCCGCCGUGCGGCUCACGUACGAACCUGUAACACCCCAAAAAACGUGGGGUGAGAACCAACUCCAUGGUUCCCAGUGGGUACGGCCACCAAAGGGAAAAGCUCGGCCAUCAGGUUCAAAGGAGGCAACUGCAGGUUAGUUUAAUAAACAGAUAGAUAGACAUUUGAUUAUGCAAUUAAUAAAACCAUACCUUGCCUCGCAAAUAUAACAAUGCUAUGCAAUAUGCAAUACCUGUAAAUCAUGAAAGUAGAUUACUUUAUUCUACUUUAUAUCAUUAACCAUUCUUUACUUGUAGCCGUUCUUUUCUUUAUUAGCUAUUCACGUUCAUUAGCUAUUCUUUAUUCUUUACUCUUUGUCUUAUUGUGCUCACUGGCGAUUCUUUCCUAAGGUUAUUUUUUCUUAGCCAUCUAUGCCACUCGACUCGGUCUCGAGUCAAUCAACUGCGGAUAGUCCGCGCUCUGUCCGGCUCAAGGUGAAGGACCUCUCACUUACAGCUCAGCCUUCAGUCCACAAAUAUGUAACAUACCAGAUUUUGGUAUAAAAAUAAGAAUAAAUAAAAAUAGUGUGAGAAACUAUUUUUAUUGGAUUUAUAGAAGUAAAACAUAAGUCAGAAGUGACUUGUGUUGAAAUCGGAAUGAAAACAGAAGAUCUAGAAUUUUCUGUUGGAAACGGGACAGAUAAAUUAGCAGAAAAUGCACAGUCUCAGAAAAUUAUGAAAAUUGGAGGAUAAGUCAGAAAUAUUUUUAUGGGGCUAGAUUUAAAGUUUCAUAUUUUUCUGACACCCGUAGAGUGAGAAAUAAAAUCCGACACGUAUCUGAUAAAGGUUACAGUUCGGUAUAGUUUUCGGUGACCAAAUGGGGUCGAAACUAGAAACUUAAAAUAUAUU
rnacentral:lncRNA from 1 species